rnacentral:rRNA from 2 species
GUAGUUGAAUUUUAGCCCUGGCUGAGCGGUCCACCAUUGGCUGGCACUGUUCUGGCUGGGGUUCACCUUCUGGUGAGCCAGUAUGCUCUUUACUGGGUGUGCUGGGGAACCAGGACUUUUACUUUGAAAAAAUUAGAGUGUUUAAAGCAGGCCUAUGCUUGAAUACAUUAGCAUGGAAUAAUAGAAUAGGACCUCGGUUCUAUUUUGUUGGUUUCUAGGACCGAAGUAAUGAUUAAUAGGGAUAGUUGGGGGCAUUAGUAUUUAGUAGCUAGAGGUGAAAUUCUUGGAUUUAUGAAAGACUAACUUCUGCGAAAGCAUUUGCCAAGGAUGUUUUCAUUAAUCAAGAACGAAAGUUAGGGGAUCGAAGACGAUCAGAUACCGUCGUAGUCUUAACCAUAAACUAUGCCGACUAGGGAUCAGACGAUGUUAAUUUACUGACUCGUUUGGCACCUUAUGAGAAAUCAAAGUUUUUGGGUUCCGGGGGGAGUAUGGUCGCAAGGCUGAAACUUAAAGGAAUUGACGGAAGGGCACCACCAGGAGUGGAGCCUGCGGCUUAAUUUGACUCAACACGGGGAAACUCACCAGGUCCAGACAUAGUAAGGAUUGACAGAUUGAGAGCUCUUUCUUGAUUCUAUGGGUGGUGGUGCAUGGCCGUUCUUAGUUGGUGGAGUGAUUUGUCUGCUUAAUUGCGUUAACGAACGAGACCUUAACCUGCUAAAUAGCUAUGCCAACUUUUGUUGGUAGCCAGCUUCUUAGAGGGACUGUCGGCGAUUAGCCGACGGAAGUUUGAGGCAAUAACAGGUCUGUAAUGCCCUUAGAUGUCCUGGGCCGCACGCGCGCUACACUGAUGAAGUCAACGAGUUUAUAACCUUGGCCGGAAGGU